GUGCUUCCCAAAAUUUACUUUCUGAAGCGAAUUCCAAAAGUUUACUGAAAUUUUACAAUUUAAACCGGGCUAUUGACUCUAAAUUUAACUAAAAACUGAAACUUAAGUGCAGAUUUACUGAGUACAACGACAACUAACUUUACUACAAAUUAAAACAAAUUGGUUACUUUGGGCGUAGGAAAUGAUCUGACACGCGAAGCAGAAUCUCUUGACAUCGGUGGCGAGUCGCGGCCAAUAGAAGCGCUCUCGAACCUUACACAACGUCUUCCAGUACCCGAGAUGAGCUUCUUCGUGGAUCUGACGAAUCAACGGCUGACGUUCACACAUCGGAACGACCUGUUUCCACCGAAACGCACUAUCUUCGGCAAGCGACGAACCAGAGAUGAACUUGAAGACUUGACCAUCAACGACUUUGAAGUCCUUGUACUUAUCCGGACACUUCUCGAUCUGCGUCUUCAACCCAUCUACGUACGGAUCCGGCAAACAGACAUCAACGGCGGUGAGACUUCGCGACAGGGCAUCAGCAGGUACAUUUUCGGUUCCCUUCUUGUACUGGAGCGUGAUGUCGUACUUGGAUAGCUUCAAGGCCCAACGAGCGAUCCGCGGGGACUUGGACUCGAUGCUCAUUGUUCGCAAGAAGGUCAGACUCAUCGCAUCUGUCUGGACGACGAACUGACUACCUUCGACGAAGUGCUUGAAGUUCUCGAUUGCCAGCAGGACGGCCAAACAUUCUCUCUCCGUGGCGCUGUACUU